rnacentral:rRNA from 1 species
GUAGGGAAUAUUGGGCAAUGGAGGCAACUCUGACCCAGCCAUGCCGCGUGCAGGAUGACGGCCCUCUGGGUUGUAAACUGCUUUUAUACGGGAAGAAAAAAUACUACGUGUAGUAUACUGACGGUACCGUAAGAAUAAGGAUCGGCUAACUCCGUGCCAGCAGCCGCGGUAAUACGGAGGAUCAAAGCGUUGUCCGGAUUUAUUGGGUUUAAAGGGUGCGUAGGCGGAUCUUUAAGUAGGUGGUGAAAGCCUGCAGCUUAACUGUAGAAUUGCCAUUGAAACUGAAGAUCUUGAAUGUGGUUAAAGUAGGCGGAAUGUAUCAUGUAGCGGUGAAAUGCUUAGAUAUGAUACAGAACACCGAUAGCGAAGGCAGCUUGCUGAACCAUUAUUGACGCUGAGGCACGAAAGCGUGGGGAGCGAACAGGAUUAGAAACCCUUGUAGUCC